rnacentral:misc_RNA from 1 species
CAGCCAUUGCAUCCAAGUCAACUGUUAUAUCUCCCGUUUCUAAGUUACCUGCAUACAAAUUACCAUCGUAAAUUAAAAAUAAUAAAUUAUUGCAUUCGUAAUUCGCGCAUGCAAUGGAAAAGAAUAUUAUUUUUAUCAAUUCUACAUAAUAAUUAUCAAUUGCAGAUCACUUCACUUUGCGUGAUGAACCAAUGGCACAAGGAGCAUUUUCAGUAUUUGAUAAAGCUCGACUUUGUGACUUCCUGACUCUAAUCGUGUCUCCCUCUAAUCGAUAUAGUUACACUGACCUUAAGUUCAUUGUUUUUAGAUCAAACAUGCCGUUGCUCUUAAACAACCAAGCCCGUGAUAAAUCUAGGGCAGCACCUUGAACACGAUAGGACUGGGAUAUUACAGUGCGUGACAUACUCCCUGUGUGGAACCAGAGACUUUACACACGGAUUCCGCUGAAUGCACUGGUAUUUCUGUUUCUACGUAUACAUAAGAAAUGUGCAAGGGUAAACCUUAACGAGCCAUUCCACUAUUACGUUUACUAUAAUCGAUUUAAUCAGUAGGAAGCAUGUUUGUCCAUAAAAACAUUUGCAUACUUUAAAUUAACAUGGAAUUUGCAAUUUUGCAUCUAUUAAUACUAAUUCUUACAAUGGAAGAAAAAUGGAUAAAUAAAUAUAAAAUAAAUGAAUGAAUAUAAA